rnacentral:rRNA from 1 species
GCGAUGACCGUGGCGGUGGAGGAGGAGGAUGAGGUAGCCAACACUGUUUUUAUAUAUAUAUAUAUAUAUAUAUAUAUAUAUAUAUAUUUUAAUUGGGGUAGUCCCCAAAAUAUUGGGACAUAUAAAAAAAGACAACUCUGUUCCGCAGAGUAGCUGUUGACAUUAUAGUUGCGCAGGCACUUUGUUGACUCUAGAGAACCUCAGGCCAAUCGCACAUGCCCGUGGCAGCGACUUUGCAUGUGAAUGUCAUCCAUAUCAACUUUCAAUGCCAGUUUCUGCACCUACCAUGGUGACCACAGGUAACGGGGAAUCAGGGUUCCAUUCCGUACAGGGACCCUGAGAAACAGCUACCACAUGCAAGGAAGGCAGCAGGUGUGCAAAUGUCCCACUCCCGACGCGGGAAGGUA